AGUCACCGGGCGGGAUGGCGGCGGGAACCUAGGGGAGGGCGGGCGCUGCCGAGGGGAGGUGAGGGAAGGUCUCACACUCGGUUCUUGCACUCAGUGUGUAUUCGGUGCCUUCACUCUGCUAGGAUUGAGAAUGCAGCAGUGAACAAAAAGAACGCUUUCCGGAAGCCGGCGUUCUGGAGGGGAGACAAAACAAACGAGCAGACAAUACUGAUGAGUAUCGUGAAGUAAAAUAAAGCAGCCAGCUUCAGAUUUUCCACUGGACAUUGGUAGAAACCAAAUGCCAGACCCUGAGACCCCAGAUGAGUGUGUGACCUUGGUUGGGUGUGACACUAUCAAGAGGAAGUUGAAUACAAUGAUAGCCUUGCGCAGGAGCACAACUCCCUACAGUUAUGGCCUCAUGGGAUUCUCUGGGCAGAAGAGCGAAGAAGAAAAAGGCAGACCCAGUUAAUAGAUGGCCGUGCUGAUGUGCUGACGCCAGGCAGAAGGCAUCGAGCUUCAGUCAGUGUGCCCGAGAGAGAGAGGUAGAGGAGAGAAGCUGGAGGCGCGGGAUCUGCCCCAGGUCAGUGGCGGUAGCGUAACAGGAUGGCUGAUGGCCCGCGGACUUGGAAAGAACAAGAUUGGAGACUUAAAGACCAAAAGGGAAGGGGUUUGUGGGUGAACUUUCCAGAUUGGGAGAGAUGUAAGGGCAUGUGAGUGUGAAUGCUCACUAAAGGGCACCACCUGCACAGGAGGCCUUUAAUCAGCAAGUGGGAGGACCCCCUAUCUGCGGAGCCAGUUGGUCUCUUUGCAGCUCCCCUCUGGUGCCACCCAGUGCUUGCUUGAUCGGCUUUUGUACCAAGUAGCCAUGACCACAUCUGAAGCUCAUGAAGCAAGGAUGUCAAGGACCCUGGCUCUUUUCUUUCUGCUCUGUCAUUCUUGACAUGUUGGAUUUUGGUUCUUCCAUCAUACUUGUUGCCUCAUGGUUCCAGAAAGGCUGCUUCGGUCCUGGGCUUGCUGACUGUGUUAGACAGGAAGCACGGGAAGGGCGGGAGGCAAAGGCUCUUUCCUCUUCAGACCUCAAGGUCUCCUCACUGAGAAGAGGCGAUCCCCUUGGCAGUCUUCCGUUUACUCUCGCUCGUCGGAAUUGGGUCACUCGCCAGCUUGGCCUGAGACCAGUCACUGGCCAGAGGGAAUGAGACUACUGGGGCUGCUUCAUACCAGUUGAGGUUUAUUCCCUGGGGCUGUCUUCCUGAGAUCAAAGGGUGUCAUCCCUACUGACAGAAAUUGAUUUGGGGUGGGAGUUGAGGUUUAAGGCAGGGAAUGGUUGAAGGUUAGAUAACCAGUAUCUGCCAGGGUUGCCAACAUUUAAAUUUUUGGAGCUAUCACAUAUAAAUCUAACUUGAGUGGAACAGUGAGGCGUCGCUGAUCCCACGUUGCCUCCUGGCAGAACUGGGUCUCUAGACGUCAUGUGCUCUCAGGUUUGCCACAGGCCCCAACACUAUCACUCACCUGUCUGCUUUACCCAUUUCCCCUACCCACAUGGCUCCUGUGAACAUUUGAGUUUAUGGCCCCUGACUUAGGACAUUAUUUUAGGGUGAUCUGUUUACUGAUGAGUUUCUCCCACCGGGCUAGCACAGUGUAGCAUGUAAAGUGUAAAUUAAACAUGCACACACAGGUAGCCUGUCACAGUGAGCAGGCCAUCACACACACAGGUGGCCCAUGGCAGUGAGCCAGGCCAUCACAUCGCGUGAGAGGGGUGGUCAAGGACCUAAGUUUGAACCUGACCUGGCUACAUGCCCGGUUCCCCAGUCCGAGUCUCAGUCUCUACAUGUGUAAAAGCAGGGAGUAGCAUCUGCGUCCCGGCAACACUGAGAAGCUUAGGUGAGCUCAUGCACAUGAAGUGCCCUGUUUCUUCCCCAAGGAGGAAUACCCUAACUUGAGAUGAAUUUGGAGUGGAAUUAGGAAGAUUUUUAAAAGCCGAGGCUACAUCUUAUUAGCUUUGCAUUGCUAGAAGUGCUUAAUAAAUAUUUAAUAAUGAUAAUAAUGAUGAUUUAGCUUGGUAGAGUGUAAUUAUACAAAUUGUUAAAUGCAAUUCUGCCAGGCUGUCAUUACAGAUAAUAGCCUGAAUGCAGGAUAAUGAGGGAGAAACCAGAGCCCACCAUUGUGAUGGCUGUCAAUAGGCUAGGAACCUACAGCCUGGAGUGAGGCCGCAUCCCACAGGAAUUGCUGAGCGAGAUCCAGCGGGGCCCACAAAGAUGUCGGGUGCGUUUCAGGUUAGAGCGGUUUGUGUAGAAUGUGCUAGGACGCACACCAGUCAAGUUUACAUUUCUUACAUGACAAGAUGUUUAGCCCUUAGGGGAAUCCUUGCUUUGUAUUUUUUUAGAGAACUUUUGAGCAAAAUAAUUAUUAUUAUUAUAUUACUAUUAUUAUUUUGAGAGAAGUCUCUUGGGACUCCUUUGCCUUAAUUUCAAGCAACAAGCAAAUGUUCACAUAACUACAGCCGACAAAGUGAGCUCAUUGGGGAAAAACCAAUCAGAAGCAGAGAAGGCAUCGUCGCCCCCUUAGAAUGAGAGAAGGGCCAUCUCAGCACCUGUGGCCACAGGUUUCUCUGUCUUCUCGUGUGGUGGCCUGAAAGAAACUUAGAACGCUGUGGGAAUGCCGCGGGCGGGCCUCCACCUCGGCCUGGAAUCUCGUGGGCAUGCUGGCCGGAGCUGCUGGCCAGGUCCUGUGGCAGUUUUCAGUGAGUCUGAGUAAUAAGGGGCGCGGAGACAAAGCUGUGGUUUCUUAGCAAAGGUGGCUUGUGCAGAGGGCGCUCGUUCACCCCCGGUGGGGGCUGUGCCGAGGCCACUGACACAUUGGAAAGCUGGCUGGCAGCAUGUAGCUCAGGCCUUGAAAGGCCUUUGCCUUUGAUCCGGGAACUCCGCCUAUGGGAAUGUCUCUAAGGAAAUCACCCGAAAUUUGGAAAAAGCAUAUGCACUAAGAUGUUCAUAAUUGUUUAUGACAGUAAAAGUGAGGACAAUUGGCCUAUGCAAUGAUAGGCAUUUGGUUAAGUGCACACAGCCCUGAUGGAAUAUUGCAUAGUCAUUAAGAGCGAGAUGCGCACACUUGUCCCAAAUCUGCUGUCCGCUCUCCACUACCUGUCAUUGGUCUGGUUGGAUUUCUUUUUUCUUUCUUUACUUUUUUCUUUUCUUUCUUUUUUUUGAUAAGAGGAGAGAGUGGGCUAUUAAUGUCAGAAAUAGAAAUUUUACAUAACGGUUUUGAAAAUGACAUUUGUACAUAACUCGCAACAUCACGGGAAGUGGUUUGUUAGAUGGAAAGUAGACUACGAAGUUGCAUUGUAACCAUGUUAGCUGGAAAUUUGGGUUAGAAAAAGUCUGAAAAAGCUUUGGGAAAAUAGUUUUCCAUGGAUAUCUCGAGUUUCUGCAUGAAUUCAAUAUUAGGAAUAUUAAGGAAGCAACAAUAUAUAUUAAAGUGUCUUUAAACAGAGAUACACAUGAAACAAAGUUACUUAUUGUCCAGUUGCUACAAAUGUAGUGACCAGGGUCUCAUAGGAACCUAAUGCUGUGCAGGGUGUUACUGGGGCUUUAAUAACUACCACAAAAACGAGGUAUCGGCUGUUUUAUAAAGCAAAAGGAGGCGAACAUGUCUCGUGGCGAGAAGGUCGCCCUCACUUCCGCCCGCGCUCACGCCCUUUCAUGCAGUCGUGCCGUCUGGGUCCUGACCUCCUGUCAGAACCACUCACCUCUGCUGCCCUUCGUUCAUGCUCCGCCGUUCCCUGGGGAACACUCCUUCGCUGGGUGGGAUGUCACUUGCCUCACCUGAGAAGGGACAGUACCGCGUACUGGGUGAGGAGACCGUCGUGGAGAGCCCCUGGCCGGGCGCCGGGCCGGUCCGUGCUCAGCCGCGCUCCCCCUCCCGCCGUGUGGCCUGCAAAGCCGCGGCCGUCCUCCCGCCAGCGCUUUUGCCCUGUGCUGUGGGCGGGGAGGCUGAGGCUCUGACACGUCGCGGCCUGCGCAGCGACAUGUGCCAGCGAAGAGGCAGAAGAUUCAGAUCCAGGGCUCACGCCCCCUGGGACUGGGUUCUUCCACGAUUCCUCCGUGAGUCUGGACUCGCGCGUCUUUCUUUGGCUCUUCCACGAACUUCGUUCCGUUUAACUUGGCCCCCAGUACACCGCGUGGCUUCGUCCCCUCCUCUGAACUGCAGGCAUGAGGCCCACACUACCCUAACUAGGUUUUAGAAACACAGAAAAGGCUUUUUCCGUGCGCCCCCACGAUCCCCGCCUCAUGGUUUGGGGUUUUCCUUUCGCUUUCGAGCAUCUGCCACGUGAGGGUGUGUUUUGUGUGUUGCACUCCUGCUCGUGCACUUUGGCGCCCUGCAUCUUAUCUGCACUUCAUAGGAAACGUUUUUGCUCUUUUUGACGGUUGCUCCCUGUUCCUUAGACUAAUACAAGGAGAUGCAUCCGAUCGCCGGCAUGAUACUGUUACAGGGGUGCACUUAGAGAAUAUUGUUCUCCUUUUCCUCAUCUUCAGAUUUCUUGCAGUACAUUUUACGAUAAAAAAUAUGGCUGAAAUGUCAACCCUGGGUAGUCAGUGUACCGAAUGCCUCUCCGUCGUGUCUCAGCAGGUUCCUCUGGCUGUCCUAUCCCAUGUCACGUUUGAGAGAAAGCACUCGUAACUUCUUCCCAGAGAGCACACUGGGGCUGGGCGUUUUCAGUCUGAAGGGAGAUGGGCGUGGUCUGAAUCACUUCAGGUCAGAGGGAGGGAAAGUGUCCCGAAAUCCAGAGCUUAUGAGAGAAUUUUAUCCCCAUUUCUUUCCCGAAGCAUUUAACAAAUACAGGGCCACCUUUGAGUUCUGGAGGGCAGGGACCAUUUCUUCCUCAUGUGCCUGGCACCAGGCCUGGCACACAGGUGCUCAGCAAACGUUUGGAGAACAAGAGUGAUUCACUCGACUGAGACUCACAGUGCCCCAGGGAAGGGAAUUUACGGCUCGUCCAGAGUUAGUUUAUUUCAAGGGAUCUGUGUCAAGAUCAGAAAAAUAAGGCUUUAAGGUUGACGAAGAAAUUUUUUUUUAAUGAACAGCCCGGUGAGAAAUGCCGUGGCCACCACGCCAGAGACGUUCGGCGUUGAGGACACGAAAUGUAUCCAGCCAGGCCACUUUCGGAAACCUCUUCUCUUACGAUUGAGUGAUGUGCCUUUCAAGGAGAAAAGCCCUCGUCAUCGAGAUGGGAGAACAGCGUGCUCCGGCUCAGCUAUGCGUUUUCCACAGAAAUAGACUUUUUCUCAGCAUUUUCUCCCAAAUCUAUAGGAAACAUAUCAACGAAAGUAGAUUGAUUUCUGGAGUGAAAGAAGAGUAUAAAUUCACCUGGCCCCAGGCUUCGGAGGGCUGCAGCCCCUGCUGCUCGAAGAGCGUGCACGAUUAUCUAGAACCUGGAGGUGCCUACUGUGUGCCUCUUCUCCCUCACGCUGUGCGGUAGGCUGAAUUAUGGCUCCCAAAGAUGCCAUGGCCUAAUCGCAGGAACCUGUGACUAUGUUAGGUCAUGUGGUAAAGGGGAAGUAAGGUUGCAGAUUAAAUGAGGGUUGCCAUUCAACUGACACCAACACAGGGACAGUUUCCUAAGGUAUUGGGUGUGCCUAGUGUGAUCACAGGGUCUUUAAAAGUGGGAGGGGGACUUGGAGUAGUCAAAAUCAUAACGACAGAGUGGCGUUGGCCAGGGGCUGAGGAAGAAGGAUUGUGGAGUUGCUGUUUAAUGAGUGUGGAGUUUCAGUUUUGCAAGAUGAAAAGAGUUCUGGAGAGGGACAGUGGCUGCACAACCGUGAGUGUACUCACUGCCACCGAACUGUACACUUAGAGAUGGUUCGAUAUUAAAAACUACUGACCUGUACACUUUACAGUAAAUUUUAUUUAUGUGAAUUAUAUUUCAAUUUUAAAAAGGCAUGAGAUAGGGCAGCCUCCUUUUCCUGCUUCUGGGUUUGAUAUAUAAGUGUGUGAUGCCUGGAGCUGCUGCAAGCAUCUUGCGGCCAUGAGAGACACUGGACACGGAGAGCAGCCAAGCACAAGAAUGGGCAGCCCCUGGACUCUUUAUGACACCGAUGAGCCCCUAAAAUAACUGACCUGUCCGAUCUCUUGUCAUGUGACAUAAUGUCCUGAACUUCGGAGCCAGUCGAUGGAUUUUUCUGUUCCUUGCAGCCCUGGUCACCCCUCCACAAAGCCCUGAGCAGCGAACACUGUCUAGGGGUCUCUCUCGCCAGAGGAGCAAGUCUUCCCCUGCAAGGGCUGGGAGGAGAAAGGCGCGCUGUCUGCUCUGCUUCUGCUGCUUCCUCCCUCAGCCACCCCCUUCUUCAUCUACCCGGUGCCACCACUGCCACCUCAGCUUUCCUUUCUGGCCCCUCCAAGAGCCUCUGCUAAGACUUCCCUGCAGCACUGUCCCAAGGCGUCAUAGUUAACCAAGUGUCCCUCACCCCCCUUCCUGGGGGCAAGGCCAGGGCCUGUUUCAUUAGGCCUCCUGGUUCUAUACAGCACAGCACAGUGCAGCACCGGCCCUGGCGCUUAGUAGGGCCCCAGGAAUUGCUUACUAAGUUGAUCGAAGAGGUGAGAGUGGCUUAGUCAGUGUACAUGCAGUGAGAUAAAAUCAGCCUCUGUCAAGAGCACCUACUAUGUGCAAGUCACACUGACCUCUCUUCAGGCCCUAAAGCAUUUAAUAUUCACACUACAGAUGAGGAAGGAGGCUCAGCCAGGUGAAGCCAUGUGCCCGAAGCCACACAGCUACUAGGUGGACAAGCUGGGAUUCAGACACAGUUCUGACACUGAACUCUUCAAAAAUAGUAACAAUAACAGCCAGCCUUUACGUUGCCAUCAUGGUGAACCACGCCCUACUCUGACUGAACCCUCCCAACUUUGCUGCGAGGUGGGUGUCGUUAGCUCUGUCGUGUAGAUAGGAAACUGAGGCCAGCACUGGGAGCUGGUGCUCGGCUCCAGGGUCCCUACCCCCACACCUGGAGCAUCCCGGCUCUGGCUCACGAUGGCGCUGGGGUGUCCACUGCCGCCUGGACAUCAGCAAGACCAGGUGCACACAACCAGGGCUCUGGGCGGAGGAAAAGCAGUCACUUCCUAAAAUGGUUUCGAGGGGACCAUCUUACUUGCGGCCUGCGCUGGGACUGUGGGGCGGGUAAGGUCCCCCUGCCCUCAGGGGACUGAGUACCAGGCUGGUGGAAAGAGGCCUGGCCACACUCAGCCAGGGCGCGCCCACCGGAUGGAUGUGCAGGGCAGGCAAGCGGGCUUGCAGGAGUGUGGUGCUCAGGCCAGAGGCCGGCAGUGUCCAGGAAAAGGGGCAGAAAGAGUGGGAGCGACACAUCUGGAGCCUGACUGGGAGCCUGACUGGGAGCAGGCCACCAGACAGCAGUGACGAGAUGCUGACUAAUUCUGCGCACCAGCCCCACUGCGGGCUCCGGGGUGAGUCAGACGUGGCUUGACAUCACUGUUUACUAACUGUAGCCUCACGGUGCCCCUCUGGUCUUUGAAAUGCGGCAGACCGGUUCCGUCCCUCACCAGCUCUGUGACUCUGGGCACGUCGUCCCUUCUCUGAGCCUGGUCUCCUGGAUGUGUCUGCACAGGAUUGUGUGAGGGUCACGAGUCAGUAUGUACAGCUCACCACAGGCUCCCUAAAGGUUGGCUAUAGUCUUGUCACUGAGUCUGCUCUUCUCCGCAGAGCUGGGGCCUGCUUCCUCCCUGUGGGGAGCUGGACAGCAGUCCCCAAAGAUGUCCCCAACCCUAGGACCCGUGAAUAUGCUGCCUUACAUGGCAAAAGGGACUUCACAGCUGUAAUAAAGUUACCGACCUUGAACUGGGGAGAUUGCCCAGGUGGGCCCAGGGUAAGCACAGGACUCCUUCAAACAGGAAGAGGAAGAAGGGCAGAGUCAGCUUCAACAGAAAAAGAGGCAGGGAGACGAUGUGAGGGGGACUUCCCCGGGUGUUAAAGGCUUUGAAGGCGGAGGAAGGCGGCCCCUGGAAGCUGGAUGGGGGCCCCAGCUGACAGCCGCCAUGGAAGGGGGCCUUAGUCUUAGAACUGCAAGGAACCGAAUUCUGCCAACGACUCGAAUAAGCCAGGAAAAUGGAUUGUCUGCCGGAACCUGCCGUAUUUCCACUCUAUAGAACUGUAGGACAAUAAAUUUGUGUGGUUUAAUGCCUCUAAACGUGUGGUGCUUCGUCAUGGCAGCAGAAGGAAAUGAACACAGCACUCAGACUCUCUUUCUGUUGGGAACGAGGGUUCGGCCCACCGCAGCCUCUAGUCACCCCUUAAGUGCUGGCCUCCCAGCCCGCUCUCCUGAAUCAACGUGCAAGGUCAUUUUCCACGGUCUCCAGCUGAAACAUGGGCAGGAUGGCGGAGCCUUGAAAAGGCCAAGUAUACUUGGCCUUGUGCCCAAAUAAAAGUCUGGAAAUGAGUGUACUUGUUUAAAAAAAAAAAAAAAAAGCCAAGUGCUGACCCACUUUUUCCUGACUGCUCUGCCUCAGACACGUCCCUCUAAAAGGAAAUUUAUUUCCAGUACACGCUGUUCCCAGGGCUGACAUCACCCACCUCGACCAGGAGCAGGACUGACAAGAGCUCUCGGAGGCUGGAGUCCAGCAUCUGAUAAUGGAGCCCAAGUUCUGCAGAAAGCGAGGACAGAAAUCCUGAAAUCGAGUGUCUACGGGGCUGUGUUUCUUCUGGAGAGUCCAAAGAAGAAUCCAUUCCCUUCUUUUUCCAGCCUCUAGAGGCACCUGCAUCUUUUGGCUGGUGGCCUUUCAUCUUCAAAGCCAGCAGGACAGCGUCUCACAUCUCUCCCUGACCUCUGCUGCUGUCAUUACAUCUUCUCUGAGUCUCCUUUCAUAAGGCCCUUUGAGAUGACCUUGGGCCCAUACUGGAUAGUCCAGGUUGUCUUCCAUCAUGAGAUCCUUAGUUCAGUCCCAUCUACAGAGUCCCACAUAUUCCCAGGUUCUGGCGGGGUGGUGGGGUGGUGGACAUCUUCCAGGACAUUAGUUGCCUCCCACAGGGAGGUUGAUGUGAGGUGGCAAGAUAUACGUGGUCUAUUAGUUUGCUAGGACACCAGUUCUUUGUCCCCUUUCCCAACCGAGAGGGUCCCACUGUGAGGCUGGACCCUGUCACCUGCUCCCGUGUCCCAUCGUGCCUGAUGUGGGCUACUACUAAGGCCCAUUCCCCUCCUGGGUUUAACUUCCGCCCUUGGCCAAGGUCAGGAGUGAGCCUUCUGUGCUCCCAUUGCAGAUCAAUCCUGCAAAAGAGAACACGUGGACACGGAUUUUCAGUGGGGAACCAAGUCCCUUACGGCAGUGAGACAGAA